UUAAGCGACUAAGCGUACACGGUGGAUGCCCUGGCAGUCAGAGGCGAUGAAGGGCGUGCUAAUCUGCGAUAAGCGCCGGUAAGGUGAUAUGAACCGUUAUAACCGGCGAUACCCGAAUGGGGAAACCCAGUGUGACUCGUCACACUAUCAUUAACUGAAUCCAUAGGUUAAUGAGGCGAACCGGGGGAACUGAAACAUCUAAGUACCCCGAGGAAAAGAAAUCAACCGAGAUUCCCCCAGUAGCGGCGAGCGAACGGGGAGGAGCCCAGAGCCUGAAUCAGCAUGUGUGUUAGUGGAAGCGUCUGGAAAGGCGCGCGAUACAGGGUGACAGCCCCGUACACAAAAGCGCAUGUGCUGUGAGCUCGAUGAGUAGGGCGGGACACGUGGUAUCCUGUCUGAAUAUGGGGGGACCAUCCUCCAAGGCUAAAUACUCCUGACUGACCGAUAGUGAACCAGUACCGUGAGGGAAAGGCGAAAAGAACCCCGGCGAGGGGAGUGAAAAAGAACCUGAAACCGUGUACGUACAAGCAGUGGGAGCCCCACCACCAAAGCAUUCUCUGGUGUUGAAGGCCCUGCAAAGCAGCAUCGCGGUGGCGGAGCGUCGUUUGCGACGCCCAACACACAAAACAAGCGGUGAGUGCUUUGGGGUGGGGUGACUGCGUACCUUUUGUAUAAUGGGUCAGCGACUUAUAUUCUGUAGCAAGGUUAACCGAAUAGGGGAGCCGGAGGGAAACCGAGUCUUAAUUGGGCGUUAAGUUGCAGGGUAUAGACCCGAAACCCGGUGAUCUAGCCAUGGGCAGGUUGAAGGUUGGGUAACACUAACUGGAGGACCGAACCGACUAAUGUUGAAAAAUUAGCGGAUGACCUGUGGCUGGGGGUGAAAGGCCAAUCAAACCGGGAGAUAGCUGGUUCUCCCCGAAAGCUAUUUAGGUAGCGCCUCGUGAACUCAUCUCCGGGGGUAGAGCACUGUUUCGGCUAGGGGGCCAUCCCGGCUUACCAACCCGAUGCAAACUGCGAAUACCGGAGAAUGUUAUCACGGGAGACACACGGCGGGUGCUAACGUCCGUCGUGAAGAGGGAAACAACCCAGACCGCCAGCUAAGGUCCCAAAGUCAUGGUUAAGUGGGAAACGAUGUGGGAAGGCCCAGACAGCCAGGAUGUUGGCUUAGAAGCAGCCAUCAUUUAAAGAAAGCGUAAUAGCUCACUGGUCGAGUCGGCCUGCGCGGAAGAUGUAACGGGGCUAAACCAUGCACCGAAGCUGCGGCAGCGAACGUAUCACCCAAGACAACUUUGCGGAGUUGACGAUUGACGGAGCGAAGCGACGUCAAAGCGUUCAUUAAAGUCGAGUUGGCUUAGGGAUACGUUCGUUGGGUAGGGGAGCGUUCUGUAAGCCAGUGAAGGUGUGUCGUGAGGCAUGCUGGAGGUAUCAGAAGUGCGAAUGCUGACAUAAGUAACGAUAAAGCGGGUGAAAAGCCCGCUCGCCGGAAGACCAAGGGUUCCUGUCCAACGUUAAUCGGGGCAGGGUGAGUCGACCCCUAAGGCGAGGCCGAAAGGCGUAGUCGAUGGGAAACGGGUUAAUAUUCCCGUACUUGGUGUUACUGCGAAGGGGGGACGGAGAAGGCUAUGUUGGCCGGGCGACGGUUGUCCCGGUUUAAGCGUGUAGGCUGGUUUUCCAGGCAAAUCCGGAAAAUCAAGGCUGAGGCGUGAUGACGAGGCACUACGGUGCUGAAGCAACAAAUGCCCUGCUUCCAGGAAAAGCCUCUAAGCAUCAGGUAACAUCAAAUCGUACCCCAAACCGACACAGGUGGUCAGGUAGAGAAUACCAAGGCGCUUGAGAGAACUCGGGUGAAGGAACUAGGCAAAAUGGUGCCGUAACUUCGGGAGAAGGCACGCUGACACGUAGGUGAAGUGAUUUACUCAUGGAGCUGAAGUCAGUCGAAGAUACCAGCUGGCUGCAACUGUUUAUUAAAAACACAGCACUGUGCAAACACGAAAGUGGACGUAUACGGUGUGACGCCUGCCCGGUGCCGGAAGGUUAAUUGAUGGGGUCAGCGCAAGCGAAGCUCCUGAUCGAAGCCCCGGUAAACGGCGGCCGUAACUAUAACGGUCCUAAGGUAGCGAAAUUCCUUGUCGGGUAAGUUCCGACCUGCACGAAUGGCGUAAUGAUGGCCAGGCUGUCUCCACCCGAGACUCAGUGAAAUUGAACUCGCUGUGAAGAUGCAGUGUACCCGUGGCAAGACGGAAAGACCCCGUGAACCUUUACUAUAGCUUGACACUGAACAUUGAGCCUUGAUGUGUAGGAUAGGUGGGAGGCUUUGAAGUGUGGACGCCAGUCUGCAUGGAGCCGACCUUGAAAUACCACCCUUUAAUGUUUGAUGUUCUAACGUGGACCCGUAAUCCGGGUUGCGGACAGUGUCUGGUGGGUAGUUUGACUGGGGCGGUCUCCUCCUAAAGAGUAACGGAGGAGCACGAAGGUUGGCUAAUCCUGGUCGGACAUCAGGAGGUUAGUGCAAUGGCAUAAGCCAGCUUGACUGCGAGCGUGACGGCGCGAGCAGGUGCGAAAGCAGGUCAUAGUGAUCCGGUGGUUCUGAAUGGAAGGGCCAUCGCUCAACGGAUAAAAGGUACUCCGGGGAUAACAGGCUGAUACCGCCCAAGAGUUCAUAUCGACGGCGGUGUUUGGCACCUCGAUGUCGGCUCAUCACAUCCUGGGGCUGAAGUAGGUCCCAAGGGUAUGGCUGUUCGCCAUUUAAAGUGGUACGCGAGCUGGGUUUAGAACGUCGUGAGACAGUUCGGUCCCUAUCUGCCGUGGGCGCUGGAGAACUGAGGGGGGCUGCUCCUAGUACGAGAGGACCGGAGUGGACGCAUCACUGGUGUUCGGGUUGUCAUGCCAAUGGCACUGCCCGGUAGCUAAAUGCGGAAGAGAUAAGUGCUGAAAGCAUCUAAGCACGAAACUUGCCCCGAGAUGAGUUCUCCCUGAGACUUAGAGUCUCCUGAAGGAACGUUGAAGACGACGACGUUGAUAGGCCGGGUGUGUAAGCGCAGCGAUGCGUUGAGCUAACCGGUACUAAUGAACCGUGAGGCUUAACCUU
rnacentral:rRNA from 1 species